rnacentral:lncRNA from 1 species
GAGCUAUCUGCAGCAGGGUCAAGAAGACUGGAGUUUAUACCGCAUCAGUCAGUCGUUGGAUCUUCUGGCCCCACGGUCGCUAAUGACUUCCAUGUUCCUUAAGCUAAAGGAAAUUUUUCUUUGUUUUGCUUAAGUAGCUUUUUGUAGAUGUGUCCUCAUACAACACCAGUAGCAGUAGAGGAAAAAUACAGGCUUCUUAAACAGUCUUGCAUUUGAAUGAGAUUGAAGAACUAUGGAGGUCCUUAUUUUGUAAAAGUCAUCACCAUUCAUCAGAUAUGAUAGAAUUACCAACAAGUAUCAUAAAACUCUGCUUUACCCUCCUUGUCUUAACCAAAAGAUUGUGUAUUCUUUCUCACAAUGGAAAAAAAAAGAAGAAGUAAGGUAUCCACUAAGAUAUGAUGAGUUUAUUGAUUUCAUCAAAAAUUCAGGUUACUUCCACUAAGUCUCCACGCCACUGUCCCCACUUUUGGCUUCAUCCUAUAGUUGGUUUACUCUUGUGAUUGCAGAUGGCUAUAACACAUACCAUCUGGAGACAAUAGUGAGUAGUAGCAGA